rnacentral:rRNA from 1 species
CCUACGGGAGGCAGCAGUGGGGAAUUUUGGACAAUGGGCGCAAGCCUGAUCCAGCAAUGCCGCGUGAGUGAAGAAGGCCUUCGGGUUGUAAAGCUCUUUUGUCAGGGAAGAAACGGUGGGGGCUAAUAUCCCUUGCUAAUGACGGUACCUGAAGAAUAAGCACCGGCUAACUACGUGCCAGCAGCCGCGGUAAUACGUAGGGUGCAAGCGUUAAUCGGAAUUACUGGGCGUAAAGCGUGCGCAGGCGGUUUUGUAAGUUUGUCGUGAAAUCCCCGGGCUCAACCUGGGAAUGGCGAUGAAGACUGCAAGGCUAGAAUCUGGCAGAGGGGGGUAGAAUUCCACGUGUAGCAGUGAAAUGCGUAGAGAUGUGGAGGAACACCGAUGGCGAAGGCAGCCCCCUGGGUCAAGAUUGACGCUCAUGCACGAAAGCGUGGGGAGCAAACAGGAUUAGAUACCCUGGUAGUCCACGCCCUAAACGAUGUCUACUAGUUGUCGGGUUUUAAUUAACUUGGUAACGCAGCUAACGCGUGAAGUAGACCGCCUGGGGAUACGGUCGCAAGAUUAAAACUCAAAGGAUUGACGGCUGAGAGNGCGAGCGACGACGAGGGAGGAGG